rfam:Streptomyces bingchenggensis BCW-1, complete genome.
CUUGAUGGAGCCCAGCCUCAGCGGCAGCUCACGGUCCUGCCCGUACGUGGCGAGCAGCGCCUGCGCCUC